UUCUGCGCCUUCAUUUUUGAUUGAAUUUCUCAUCUGCAACAAGCUCUUGCUUGUUGAGUAGAGCAGCAAACUUCAACCGCGAAAAGGCACCUUAGAGACCAGAACGAGAAGCAAAGGCACCAGCAGACAUGCCUUCCUUGGGUAUGGCCACCUUCCGCUGAAAGCCAGGCGGGGAGACUCCGGGCCCCAGGCUAGGACGACCGCGCCCCUUAAAGAGCCUUGGAGGACCUGGAAUCGCCAAGUGGGAGAAACAAAAGCGGUUCAUCUCUGAGUAAGAGGGUGCGGUAAACCCUCGAGGAGGGUGAGGCGCCCAGAAUACGCAGAAAGGAAGACCCCGGGACAGCCCGAGGACCGCCGCCGCGCGGAAGUCUGGAGUGGCUCACUGCAGAUUCACCACCCGGCCCUCCCGCACCUUCCCGUCGGAUUCUUUCCGAAGACAGCGUGGAGGGCGGGUGACCUCGGGGAAUUUACGCCGCUUGUUCCUGUUACACACAUCUGUUGAGUGUUUAUUUUAUGCCAGGCCUUUAGCCGAGCUCAGAGGAUACGCUAGUUAUAAAACAGACAUGAAAGUUACAGUUCCCUCACCUGUAGAAUGGGCGGAGGGAUGGGCUCCAUCCCAUGACGGAAUUUCAUGCAGUAUAAUACAGGCCUUAGCGAUUUCCAUCAAGUACAUAAAGCUUACAACAACUUAAAAAAAAUUUAAAAUUUUAUGAAAUUUAGAAUUGGAAUCCUUGUUUUUUCUUGAAUAUCACCAUAUUUAGCCAUUAGUGUAGUUUUGAAAGUAUUGUAAAUUUAAUUUUACAAGGAAAUUUCAUAAUUGUAAGCAAAUAUGGGAUGUUAUAGUUAAACCGUAAUUAAAAACUUGAAACUGAAUUUCCUAAUUUAGUAGUUUGUCAACUCUGGGAACGGGGUCCACGUCAUCUGACCCCACUUCCGUGCAGGCCAACACCCACGGAACAAAUAUGCCUUAUCUGGAGCAUAAAGAGCCUAAAGGUUUGCUUUCUGGAGCCUGCUCACGCCGAAUAGAGCACAGGCUGUCUUCAAAAUCUUGUGUGUGAUCUUGAAGUAGUAACGGCUGUAUUUACACCGACUUGGUUUCUUAUUUUAGUUGAAAAUACCUGGAUUGUGCCAAAGAAUUUAACUGUUUUAAGCUUUUGCUUGUCCUAGAUUUUUAAAAAAGAUUUAAUUGAAAUAGUGUGUACACAUAUUAUA